rnacentral:rRNA from 1 species
UACGUAGGCAGCGAGCGUUGUUCGGAGUUACUGGGCGUAAAGCGUGCGUAGGCGGUUGUCUAAGUUUGGUGUGAAAUCUCCUAGCUUAACUGGGAGGGUGCGCCGAAAACUGGGUGACUGGAGUGUCGGAGAGGUAAGCGGAAUUCCUGGUGUAGCGGUGAAAUGCGUAGAGAUCAGGAGGAACACCUGUGGUGUAGACAGCUUACUGGACGAUAACUGACGCUGAGGCACGAAAGCGUGGGUAGCAAACAGG